rnacentral:rRNA from 1 species
GGACGAACGCUGGCGGCGUGCUUAACACAUGCAAGUCGAACGCUGAWGCCCAGCUUGCUGGGUGGAUGAGUGGCGAACGGGUGAGUAACACGUGAGUAACCUGCCCCCUUCUUUGGGAUAACGCCCGGAAACGGGUGCUAAUACUGGAUAUUCACUGGCCUUCGCAUGGGGGUUGGUGGAAAGGUUUUUUCUGGUGGGGGAUGGGCUCGCGGCCUAUCAGCUUGUUGGUGGGGUGAUGGCCUACCAAGGCUUUGACGGGUAGCCGGCCUGAGAGGGUGACCGGUCACAUUGGGACUGAGAUACGGCCCAGACUCCUACGGGAGGCAGCAGUGGGGAAUAUUGCACAAUGGGCGAAAGCCUGAUGCAGCGACGCCGCGUGAGGGAUGACGGCCUUCGGGUUGUAAACCUCUUUCGCUCAUGGUCAAGCCGCAGCUUUGGGUUGUGGUGAGGGUAGUGGGUAAAGAAGCGCCGGCUAACUACGU